GAAGAACCUUNCCGAGACUUGACAUCCCGUGACUAUCUGUGAAAGCAGAGUUUGCCUUGGGCACCCGGUGACAGGUGGUGCAUGGUUGUUGUCAGCUUGUGUCGUGAGAUGUUGGGUUAAGUCCCGCAACGAGCGCAACCCCUAUCCUUAGUUGCCAGCGGGUAACCGGGGAUUUUAAGGAGACACCCGGUGAAAACCGGAGGAAGGUGGGGAUGACGUCAAAUCAUCAUGCCCCUUAUGUCUCGGGCUACACACGUGCUACAAUGGUCAGUACAGAGGGAAGCGAAGUGGUGACAUGGAGCAAAUCCCAGAAAGCCGAUCUCAGUUCGGAUUGCAGNUCUGCAACUCGCCUGCAUGAAGCUCGGAAUCGCAUNUNUAC
rnacentral:rRNA from 1 species